GGUGGCUCAGUGGCAGAGCGCAUGCCUUGCAUGCAUGAGACCCUGGGUUCGAUUCCUCAGCACCA
rnacentral:tRNA from 1 species